UACGGAGGGGGCUAGCGUUAUUCGGAAUUAUUGGGCGUAAAGGGCGUGUAGGCGGCCGCGUAUGUCCCAUGUGAAAGCCCUCGGCUCAACCGGGGAACUGCAUGGGAAACGGCGUGGCUUGAGACCAGGAGAGGUGAGUGGAAUUCCCAGUGUAGCGGUGAAAUGCGUAGAUAUUGGGAGGAACACCAGUGGCGAAGGCGGCUCACUGGACUGGUACUGACGCUGAGGCGCGAAAGCGUGGGGAGCAAACAGG
rnacentral:rRNA from 1 species